UUUUUUUUUUUUUUUUUUUUUUUUUUUUGAAAUCCUGAAUGACUGAUGGCGUGGGAGAUGGAAUAUAGUAGUUUUUCUUGUCUUCCCGUUAGAAAUAAGACGUUCAAAGCUGGAGUUGAUAAUCUCGUUUAAUCCAUUCAUCGCGAUUAGAAAGAUUGCCGAGCUCCACGCUGAAUGCAAAACUUAGAAUGAGCACCGGGUAUGUCAAUGUUCAAUGAUGAGUUCAUAAUAAUGGCCGAGACCAUCUUAACAACCCCAUCCGGCAGUCCGUACCUAUAUAGCUAUUCGACAAUGAACUUGUGUAUGACACUAUCGAAUGCCUUUUCGAAGUAGAAAAAAAUUGUAGCGCACUUGGAUAAUGCACGUAAGUCGAUACCAUCUUGUAUAGAGUGUGGUAUAUCCUCUAGUAGGCGUGACGCCAUAAAGCCUUUCUGAUCCGUUGAUAUAAUAUAUGGAAUAUUCUGGAAAGUAUCCGAUUUAAUAUUCCGAUGAGUAUUUUAUAUGAGGUAUUCAGUAGGGAAAUGGGUCUUUAAUUUUUAAUGUCAUACUUUGAUUUGUUCUUCUUUAGAACUUAAGGAUCCAGUGCUCUUGAAGUCAGGAAUAAAACCUUUAUUGAAUAUUUCCUUAGACAUUUCUUCGAGGAUUGAAGAAAGUAAAUUUUUAAACCUUUUGAAAAAUUCAAAAGGCAACCUUGGUCGUCCAGGGCUUUUAAAUUUUUUGUCGUAACCAUUGAUGAACUUCAUAAUUUUUUCUUCUGUGAUUGUUCUUCCAGGAUCCCAAUUUUUAAACAACAAAGGUUUCCAUUUUGUUGGAUCUCUUGUUCAAACAGAAGUCACAUAGUUUGUUCGACUUGCAAACCGAACAACCAUAUAAUUUGGAAUAAAAUCUGCAUGUUUCUACGGAUAUUUUCUCCGAAUCUAUGAAAAUAAAACAUUUCACGGGAACCAUUUUUCAAAUCUUUAAAAGCUUAAAAAAUGUGUCAUCAAAGAAAUUGCUGUGUCCGAAGUUGCAUUAGGAUCAGUUUACUCAUUUGAAUAUUGAAAUGUGAUAUAUACUUAUAAUAAGAGACCAUCACGUUCACAAGUUUUAACAAUAUCCAUCAUAGCAAUUAGGUUGCUGUAAUUAUAUGUAUAAGAUAUAAUUCUUCAGAGUCUUGAUAAUAGUUGAGGAGAAUUAGUAAGAAAUAAGGAGAAAUUAAAUGUAAAAACCUUCCAUUUUAAUAAAUGUACACAUAGGUGAUAAGUAAGAU
rnacentral:lncRNA from 1 species